rnacentral:rRNA from 1 species
AUUGAACGCUAGCGGGAUGCUUUACACAUGCAAGUCGAACGGAGUGGCGGACGGGUGAGUAAUGCCUAGGAAUCUGCCUGGUAGUGGGGGAUAACGUCCGGAAACGGGCGCUAAUACCGCAUACUAUCAGAUGAGCCUAGGUCGGAUUAGCUAGUUGGUGGGGUAAAGGCCUACCAAGGCGACGAUCCGUAACUGGUCUGAGAGGAUGAUCAGUCACACUGGAACUGAGACACGGUCCAGACUCCUACGGGAGGCAGCAGUGGGGAAUAUUGGACAAUGGGCGAAAGCCUGAUCCAGCCAUGCCGCGUGUGUGAAGAAGGUCUUCGGAUUGUAAAGCACUUUAAGUUGGGAGGCGUUACCAACAGAAUAAGCACCGGCUAACUUCGUGCCAGCAGCCGCGGUAAUAC